CAGGAAGAACUCAGAAAGGGGCAGCUAUGGUCCUACCAAUGCCCCAUGGACUACACUCUGACAUGCAUUCCACAUGGAUAGCACUUUGUCUCCUGAUUUAAAUCACUUACAUGUUGCCUGUACCCAGAGAGUAUGAGGGCCACACAUGAAAGCAAAGUUUAUAGGACACGUCUCACCAGGAGAGCAUUCCAGCGCGACUGUUUUGUGUGAUUUAGCCGAGGCUGUUGUCUCUGAAGUUCACACAUGGGAAGCUUCAUCUCCUAUGGGACAGUCUGGAGAGGUGGAAUUUGGUAAGAGGCCAAUGCUUUAUUUUGAUCUCUGAUGCUGUGAUAAAACACUCUGACCAAAAACAAUUUAGGACAAGAAAGGGUUUACUUAACCUAUAGGUUAUAGUCCAUCACUGAGAGGAGUCAGGGCAGGAAUCGAUGCAGAAACUUAAGGCAGAAACUGUGGAUGAAUGCCUGCUUGUUGGCUUGCUCAAAGACUUAUAUAGAGAGAGCACACUGAUACAGACCAGGACCACCUGCUCAGAGAAUAGUGCUGUCCACAAUAGGUAAGGCUCUCUUACACCAGUUAGCAAUCACAACAACCCCUCUAGACAUGUUCACAAGCCCAUCCAAACUGACAGUUAUAGCUGACCAGAGUGGUUCACAAGGGCUCUGCUCUAUGGAAAGGAUUAAGACAAUUAUCUAACCAGUGGGUUCAUUACCACAAGAGUGAUAGCAUUUGAAUGUCCAUCCUCCAUUCUCUCUUCUUUCACUCUGGGAAGGAACAAAAGAAAAGUCCCUGCCAGGUGCCGGUACCUUGAUGAUGAAUCUUCCAGACUCCAGACUAUGAGGAAUGAGUUCUUUCUCUCUCUAACCUACCUGUCAGUGAUG